UACGUAGGGGGCAAGCGUUGUCCGGAAUCAUUGGGCGUAAAGCGCGUGUAGGCGGCCCGGUAAGUCCGCUGUGAAAGUCGGGGGCUCAACCCUCGAAUGCCGGUGGAUACUGUCGGGCUAGAGUGCGGAAGAGGCGAGUGGAAUUCCUGGUGUAGCGGUGAAAUGCGCAGAUAUCAGGAGGAACACCGGUGGCGAAGGCGGGUCUCUGGGCGGUAACUGACGCUGGAGGAGCGAAAGCGUGGGGAGCGAACAGG
rnacentral:rRNA from 1 species